UGGUCAAUGGUAAGAACUCAUGUUGUCUUGAAGAGAGAUGACUUAAAAAUUAUCCUCAGAAUUAGUCUGCAUCUC
rnacentral:snoRNA from 1 species